GCCGCGGUGGCGGAAUUGGUUUACGCAGGAGACUUAAAAUCUCCGGCCCGAAAGGGCUUGUGGGUUCAAAUCCCACCCGCGGCA
rnacentral:tRNA from 1 species